AACGUAGGUUCCGAGCGUUGUCCGGAUUUACUGGGCGUAAAGCGCGUUCAGGCGGUUUGGCAAGUCGGGCAUGAAAUCUCUCGGCUCAACCGGGAGAGGUUGUCCGAUACUGCUGGACUUGAGGGCAGUAGAGGGUGGUGGAAUUCCGGGUGUAGUGGUGAAAUGCGUAGAUAUCCGGAGGAACACCAGUGGCGAAAGCGGCCACCUGGACUGCACCUGACGCUGACACGCGAAAGCUAGGGGAGCGAACGGG
rnacentral:rRNA from 1 species